GCCCUCUUAGCUCAGUGGUAGAGCGCGUCACUCGUAUCUGCGAUACAUGACGAGGUCAGUCGUUCAAGUCGGCUAGGGGGCA